rnacentral:rRNA from 1 species
GACGAACGCUGGCGGCGUGCUUAACACAUGCAAGUCGAACGGAAAGGCCCUGCUUUUGUGGGGUGCUCGAGUGGCGAACGGGGGAGUAACACGUGAGUAACCUGCCCUUGACUUUGGGAUAACUUCAGGAAACUGGGGCUAAUACCGGAUAGGAGCUCCUGCUGCAUGGUGUGGGUUGGAAAGUUUCGGCGGUUGGGGAUGGACUCGCGGCUUAUCAGCUUGUUGGUGGGGUAGUGGCUUACCAAGGCUUUGACGGGUAGCCGGCCUGAGAGGGUGACCGGCAACAUUGGGACUGGGAUACGGCCCAGAGGCAGACGGGAGGAAGGGGUGGGGAAUUUUGCAAAAUGGGCGGAGGCCGUGAGGAACAACGCCGGGUGGGGAAUGACGGCCUUCGGGUUGUAAACCGCUUGCGCCUGUGACGAAGCGUGAGGGAGGGAAAUGGGUAAAGAAGCACCGGCAAACUACGU